UGCAAGUCGAACGAGCUUCCGUUGAAUGACGUGCUUGCACUGAUUUCAACAAUGAAGCGAGUGGCGAACUGGUGAGUAACACGUGGGGAAUCUGCCCAGAAGCAGGGGAUAACACUUGGAAACAGGUGCUAAUACCGUAUAACAACAAAAUCCGCAUGGAUUUUGUUUGAAAGGUGGCUUCGGCUAUCACUUCUGGAUGAUCCCGCGGCGUAUUAGUUAGUUGGUGAGGUAAAGGCCCACCAAGACGAUGAUACGUAGCCGACCUGAGAGGGUAAUCGGCCACAUUGGGACUGAGACACGGCCCAAACUCCUACGGGAGGCAGCAGUAGGGAAUCUUCCACAAUGGACGAAAGUCUGAUGGAGCAAUGCCGCGUGAGUGAAGAAGGGUUUCGGCUCGUAAAACUCUGUUGUUAAAGAAGAACACCUUUGAGAGUAACUGUUCAAGGGUUGACGGUAUUUAACCAGAAAGCCACGGCUAACUACGUGCCAGCAGCCGCGGUAAUACGUAGGUGGCAAGCGUUGUCCGGAUUUAUUGGGCGUAAAGCGAGCGCAGGCGGUUUUUUAAGUCUGAUGUGAAAGCCUUCGGCUUAACCGGAGAAGUGCAUCGGAAACUGGGAGACUUGAGUGCAGAAGAGGACAGUGGAACUCCAUGUGUAGCGGUGGAAUGCGUA
rnacentral:rRNA from 1 species